AUUUAUAUAAUUUAAAAAAAAUAUUAUAUUUUCAUUAUAACAUUAAUAAAUUAAUUUAUUUAUAAAUA
rnacentral:tRNA from 1 species